ACUAUGACUCUCUUAAGGUAGCCAAAUGCCUCGUCAGCUAACUACUGACGCGCAUG
rnacentral:ncRNA from 1 species